ACAAGAUUGGAUCGUCAGUCUACCAAGCAAUAUCACCCGCUCGGUGGAAAAUCUUCCCUUGGUGUU
rnacentral:pre_miRNA from 1 species